rnacentral:lncRNA from 1 species
GGGUAGGGAACGUCGACGCCUUCGGAACCUUCCCUCGGUUGGUGGCGGGUCUACCAGCGCUCUGAUACCCCUCUCUCUUUAUCCUCCCCACUAUCAGGCAACAACGACAACGACGCGGCGACCACCACCACCACCGCCACCACCACCACUAGCAGCAGUAGGAGCACGACGAAACGCGCUUCGGUUCUUCGAGCCACGACUAACAGCGAGAACAGACGAGGAGGACUGACUAGAAGAGAGCGCGACGGCGCUUCUCUCGGCGCUUCCCGGGAGCCAGUAACACGCGCGCGCAGAUACACGAUUCUAUGCGAAAGACAGAGAGAGAAAGUGAGAGAAAGAGACCGAGGACAGUACGACUCGACGAGAGAACGUACCGGCGGCGCUGACGGUUCUACGAGUGGGGAUUUCUUCUUUUUCCUCGCGACUUCUACCCCUCCUCCUCUACCAGCCUCUCUCGGAGGUAUACGUUCAGAUCCUCCGGCCCGCCCUCCUUCCAACGAUCUCUCUAACAUUCCCUCCGUCUCUUUCUACCGCGAGACGGCCCUCUUUACCGCGUUUCCUCCACCUCCCAGGGACCAUGCCCUCUUCCUCCUCCUGCCACCCUCCUCUCGCUUCUCUAAAGAAUGUCGCCGGCUACGUUCGAAUCGAUCGUUCGCUCUCUCGCGGUACUCCUCCCACCCACCUCCACCAUAUUCGCCAUCAGCAUUACACGCGCGCACUUAUUUCUUCCGUAGGUAACUCCGCUUCCUCGCGAUCUUUCUCUCCCUUCCUGCACAUCUUAGUCGUCUUUUGCUCACGAACCUCUCGCUCUCUCAACUCUCUCUCUCUCUCUCUCCUCCCCUCUUCAAUAUCCUUCCAUCUCUAUCUCAGUCUCUCUUGCGAGCUCAUCUGACCCCUACCAAACUUCCACCGGCACUUUCCCACCCUCAAUCCCAACCACCACUACCACCACCAACACCACCACCACACCAGUAUCAACGUUCUUGUCGUUGUCGGGGUAUGGGUGCUUAAUAUCUUUGUACCAUAGCCAAGGCGUACAUAUCCACCGACUGUUCUCCCGGAGGUGAACUUUUCGUGCGAGUGUGUUUUGCGAAUGAAACAUUCCAAAAGUCGAAAUAACUUAUGAAAAAUCCGAUGGAUGAAAACGAGUGCGUUCGGCAGGCAGGAAAGAGGGAGAGGCAGAGAAAACCCUGGUCCGAUUAUCUUGUCAUAGAUGUUUCAAGAGUCGAUGGGAGGGAAAGGAAGAGGGCAACGUACUACUAGCCUCCACCUCCACCACCCCCUCCUCCUCUCUUUUGGUCGGUCAUCCCCUCAUCGGCCCGGUGACCUAAAUCUACCGAUGAAGGAGAGACCCCUCUCCUCGCCUUCGUUAUAUUCGUGUAGGUGUUUAUUUGUGUUUGAAAGAGUGUGUGUGUGUGUAUGCAUUUGUGUGUAUAAGAGAAAGACAGAGUAUACAUAUAUUCCGUAAGUUCGCGCAUACGUUCGCCGACCGCAGCUGAUCCCUUGACCUCGUCCAACCCCGAACAAAACGGGAGACCCCGAUGGGCCUAACGUUCAUUGACCGUUAGCGCUCGACCGAAAAGGGCUACUCGCGAUUCGGCUAACACAAGGAGAAGGAGGAGGACACUACACGUUUCUUUUCCAAAAUCCCUACUUGCUUUUUCACGCGCAUCAUUAGACCUCCUCCAGGAGGGGCUAAAUUAUCCGCUAAAUAUUCGCUCUGGUAUACUUUAGAAUAUUCCUUUUUUUUCCUCCUUCACAAGACCCUUUAUCUUUAACCAUGGUAAUACCUAGGUAUAGAGCUUUUAUCGUGGACACGAAACAAAAGAUAAUUUUUGUUUAAUAAUAUUAUUCUAUUACUCAGUAUAAUGUACAUAUUUUCGAAUGCAUCUGUUGUAUAAAAUAAUAAAAAAUUAAUCUCAAUCUUAUAUAUAUAGCACAUAUGAUAAUUGUGUAUGAUAAUCUCUUAAAAAUAAAAUAGAAAUAUAUUAUUAUUCCUAUAUUCUACUGUAAUCUCAAGGCAAACAAAAAAUCGAAGAUGAAGAAAUUGAAAUAAAUGCAUAAACUCGUGCUCUCCAAAA